CCAACAUACCCAUCAUAUACACCACCUAAAAUCAUACAUAUUCAACUAAUACUAACACUACCUAUUCCUUACACCUUCACUAACGAUCAAUUACUUAGUAACCUAUCUAUUCCUAUUAUCCUCAAUAUCCAUUCACACAUAACUAUAUCCAGUUUGUCACAACUUUCAACACCUUAUGAGUUUAAGAACUCAUCACAGACAUAUGAGUUUAAGAACUCAACAUUGACCACUUAUAAUCCUUUGGCUACACUUUACCUAUCUGUCAUACUUAUCGUUUCUUGAUCCAGUACUAUACUUUCCAAAUUAACCACCUCUUUGAGGUAGCUUUCAAUGUGAG
rnacentral:lncRNA from 1 species